UUCGGUGGCGAUGGCGGUGGGGUCACACCCGUUCCCAUUCCGAACACGGAAGUUAAGCCCACCAGCGCCGAUGGUACUUGGGUGGAGACGCCCUGGGAGAGUAGGUCGCCGCCGGAU
rnacentral:rRNA from 3 species